rnacentral:lncRNA from 1 species
AUGGCGUGUCUAAUCUAUAUCCUGCUGCACGGCUUGAUGAUUCUGUAUGCCGACAGGGAUGAAAGUGAAAUAAGAAACUCUUUUAAACUUGGACGGACCAAAAGCCUGGAUCCUGAUGUCAACUUUUCAAGUGGAAGCAAGGUCAGCGAACAUACCUCCACUCAGCUGGAGCGACAGAACAGUUCCUGUGCUUCAAAUACUGGGACAAUCCCCAGAGGAGGAAAAGAUUAUAAAGCAAAAUGAUCCAUCCAGAGACCUGAGGGAAGCCACCUGCCUGAAAUGCAGAGGAUGCCUAUUUUACAGUGGUAGACUUUGCCGAUGCAUCUUGGGAUAGCGGUGCAUCUGAGCACUGUGCAAGAUCUAAUGAUCUUGAAGAAGGUUGGAAUACAGAGUAUAUUCAUUUUGCAGUAGAGCCUGAUUCAUGAAAUGUAUGAAAUGAUUGCAUUUGUUGAAUCAUACAUGGCUUUAGGCCUAUAGAUUAUGAUGCAUCUUCUGCCUGGGUUACUGGGUUACUGGUUUCUCCUGGAGCCUUAUGACAGAGAGAAGGUAUAAUUAGUAAUGAAGUGUAUUAGUCUACAAAAUGAACUGUUCUCUAUUAGAAGUGUCCUAUUAAAAGGUCAUUUUGCAUUUUCUGUUAUUAGAUUAACUUGUAAUACAUUGCUAAAUGCCUAAUAAUCUUUGGUGCUGUAAUUAUUGUGAAAAUAGUGUCACGAGAAACAAUGUCAUUUGUUGUCAGCGUUAUUGGACUGCCCUUAACUUUUUUUUCUUUUUUGAUGUCAUGAAAAAUACUGUCCCUGCAUCAAUCGUCUUGUAAAGGACUGUGAUAAUCAUGUUUUUGCCACAUCACACAGACACAGAGAGACACAUGACAGCAGAAUUAUGUAAAACAUGAAUUGAAAUAACUGUAUAAAUAGGAAUGGCUGUUAAUGAAUGGAAUAUCUGUGUGAAUGUAGACAGAAUGAAGUGUUGUUAGUUGCUGCUUGUGUAGUAUGAUGUAGUUACAAUGUAACGUGUCAUGACAUGACUUCCAAAAUUCUGAUUCAGUUGUUUUUGGUUACAGAUGUCUUCAAUAAAUACCAAAAUCAGACCA